rnacentral:sRNA from 1 species
GCUGGAUGCAGUGGUGCACAUCUGUAAUCCCAGAGACUCAGGAGGCUGAGGCAGGAGGAUCAUGGGUUCAAAGCCAGCCUCGGCAACUCAGCAAAACCCUGACUCUA